GCGCCGGUAGCUCAAAUGGAUUUGAGCACCUGGUUGCUACCCGGGAAGUUGUCAGUUCGAAGCUGACCCGGCGCACCA
rnacentral:tRNA from 1 species